GAUGAACGCUGGCGGCGUGCCUAAUACAUGCAAGUCGAGCGAACGGACGAGAAGCUUGCUUUUCUGAUGUUAGCGGCGGACGGGUGAGUAACACGUGGAUAACCUACCUAUAAGACUGGGAUAACUUCGGGAAACCGGAGCUAAUACCGGAUAAUAUUUUGAACCGCAUGGUUCAAAAGUGAAAGACGGUCUUGCUGUCACUUAUAGAUGGAUCCGCGCUGCAUUAGCUAGUUGGUAAGGUAACGGCUUACCAAGGCAACGAUGCAUAGCCGACCUGAGAGGGGGAUCGGCGGCCCUGGAAGGGAGACACGGUCCAGACGCCUACGAGAGGCAGCAGUAGGGAAUCUUCGGCAGUGGGCGAAAGCAUGACGGAGCAACGCCGCGUGAGUGAUGAAGGUCUUCGGAUCGUAAAACUCUGUUAUUAGGGAAGAACAUAUGUGUAAGUAACUGUGCACAUCUUGACGGUACCUAAGCAGAAAGCCACGGCUAACUACGUG
rnacentral:rRNA from 1 species